UAUUUUUGUAUUGUUUUAAAAUACGUUUAAUUGCGUAAUUGUAUCAACCAUCUCAAAUUUUAUGUUUUCAAAUAAAAUGUAUUUCUUUCUUUUCUCAGACGGUGGUACCGUCACACUUGACGAAUAUGAACAUAACAUUGUGCAUGUUCUGGAAAGCAAGUAUAAGGAGAUAAAUGCCUUAGCUGUGGAUGGCUGAUUGAGCUCAUACUUGGAAGAGAUUAAAAAUUGCUUUUCAUUUCGGAGAUGUACGAUGCUGUUCUCAACUUCUACUGCCAUUUCUUCUUGCUGACUAAGUCUUAAACAGUUUACAACAAGAUACUAUUAACGAACAUUACUGGUAUCAGCCGUUUAAUCUGUUAUUGUAAUACACAAUGCA